AGGCCAAAGUUACAAGAGACUGAAGAGGCAGUAACUCUGGCUGCUUAAAAGUGUGUUUCAGGCUACAGGCCUGCGCUGACGGGUGUGCAGAGUUUUCCUUAUCACACCCUCAAUGAUGUGAUCCACCAAAUGUCAUCUCUUCCAAUCGCCUCAGCGGCGUUUACAUGUUUUCACCUCUCCUCCCAUUCCUCCCACUCCCUCCGCUGCUGCCUUGCCCAGGGGGCUCAAAGGUCACGUCGACUUGCGCUCGUUGCGCUUUCUCCCUGCAGAGCGGGACUUCUAGCCGUCAUCCCACCGGGGACUGGACUCGAUUGAGGUUUCAUCAUCUCCCGGAUCUCUGAACUUCUUGGUUGUCUUCAUGACAAAUAUCCAGCGAUUAAAUCCAGGGUAAAGUAAAGAUUCAAGGAGUUGACGCCUGGAUGGUGAACACAGCCCUAUUUACUAUUCUGAGUUACUGGGGAGACUGAAGAGAGGAGGGAGGAGUGAGGUGCACAAGGCAGUGAGAUGUGUCCCUUCAAGCGGCCGCAGCCAGAGGGAAGUGAACGCAACUCAGCCUUCAAAAAUAAAGACCCUUUCUGUGAUAUCAGCAUGUCAUGUUUUCUCUGUUUUUUGCCCAUGUUUAUAGCUUGUUCUACCACCUAUGAGCUACAGUAAAGAAAAAAACAACAACAUUUAUUGUCCAAUCUACUCUCUAAAACUUCUCCAAGUAAAAAGGCUAACCAUGGGAAAAUGUGGAGUGAAAUUAAGUUGAAUGAAUAUGAUUUAUGUAAGGAAAAUAAACAAUGCUAUGAUGCUGACCUUCA